rnacentral:rRNA from 1 species
UACGUAGGGGGCAAGCGUUGUCCGGAAUCAUUGGGCGUAAAGCGCGCGUAGGCGGCCUUGUAAGUCAGAGGUGAAAGCCCGGAGCUCAACUUCGGAAUAGCCUUUGAGACUGCAUCGCUUGAAUCCGGGAGAGGUGAGUGGAAUUCCGAGUGUAGAGGUGAAAUUCGUAGAUAUUCGGAAGAACACCAGUGGCGAAGGCGGCUCACUGGACCGGUAUUGACGCUGAGGUGCGAAAGCGUGGGGAGCAAACAGG